AGCAGCCGCGGUAAUUCCAGCUCCAAUAGCGUAUAUUAAAGUUGUUGCAGUUAAAAAGCUCGUAGUUGAAUUUCGGGGUCAGUAGAUUGGUCGUGCCACUGGUACGUACUGGUCUACUGGCUCCUCCUUCCUGAUGAACCGUAAUGCCAUUAAUUUGGUGUCGCGGGGAAACUGGACUGUUACUUUGAAAAAUUAGAGUGUUUAAAGCAGGCUAACGCUUGAAUACAUUAGCAUGGAAUAAUGAAAUAGGACGUUCGAUCUUAUUUUGUUGGUUUCUAGGAUUGACGUAAUGAUUAAUAGGGAUAGUUGGGGGCAUUAGUAUUCAAUUGUCAGAGGUGAAAUUCUUGGAUUUUAUUGAAGACUAACUACUGCGAAAGCAUUUGCCAAGGAUGU
rnacentral:sRNA from 1 species